GGAAAAGAAGAAUGCAAUGAAAAUAUGCAACUAAAGCUACCUAAAUUGAUAGAAGCUAGCCAAGGUCUGGAAUCAUUGUGAAGCAAUCCCAAACAGCAAGCAAACUUCGAACAGAAUGAUGCAGCGGAUAAUGUUGUUGAUGCAGUGGAUAUGGAUGAGUGCAAUGGUGUUUCUGUGUUGGAAAAUGGUAGGAGUGUGUGGGUUAUCUCCUCAGCUCAGAAGGCCUUCCCACUAUGGAAGGAAGCUAGAGGAAAGAGUAGAGAAAGUGAAGAGAAUUGGUGACUCAAGAGCAAAGCAAGCUGGAAAUUCAUUUCUGCAGCAUAACAAUCAAGCUCUAAAGUG
rnacentral:lncRNA from 1 species